CAGAGAGAGAGAGGUCUGAUAAUAUGACAGAGAGAGAGAGGUCUGAUAAUAUGACAGAGAGAGAGAGAGGUCUGAUAAUAUGACAGAGAGAGAGAGGUCUGAUAAUAUGACAGAGAGAGAGAGAGGUCUGAUAAUAUGACAGAGAGAGGUCUGAUAAUAUGACAGAGAGAGAGGUCUGAUAAUAUGACAGAGAGAGAGAGAGGUCUGAUAAUAUGACAGAGAUAGAGAGAGGUCUGAUAAUAUGACAGAGAGAGAGAGAGGUCUGAUAAUAUGACAGAGAGAGAGAGAGGUCUGAUAAUAUGACAGAGAGAGAGGUCUGAUAAUAUGACAGAGAGAGAGGUCUGAUAAUAUGACAGAGAGAGAGAGAGGUCUGAUAAUAUGACAGAGAGAGAGGUCUGAUAAUAUGACAGAGAGAGAGAGGUCUGAUAAUAUGACAGAGAGAGAGAGAGGUCUGAUAAUAUGACAGAGAGAGAGAGGUCUGAUAAUAUGACAGAGAGAGAGAGAGGUCUGAUAAUAUGACAGAGAGAGAGAGGUCUGAUAAUAUGACAGAGAGAGAGAGAGGUCUGAUAAUAUGACAGAGAGAGAGAGAGGUCUGAUAAUAUGACAGAGAGAGAGGUCUGAUAAUAUGACAGAGAGAGAGAGAGGUCUGAUAAUAUGACAGAGAUAGAGAGGUCUGAUAAUAUGACAGAGAGAGAGGUCUGAUAAUAUGACAGAGAGAGAGGUCUGAUAAUAUGACAGAGAGAGAGAGAGGUCUGAUAAUAUGACAGAGAUAGAGAGAGGUCUGAUAAUAUGACAGAGAGAGAGAGAGGUCUGAUAAUAUGACAGAGAUAGAGAGGUCUGAUAAUAU